UACGGAGGGGGUUAGCGUUGUUCGGAAUUACUGGGCGUAAAGCGCGCGUAGGCGGAUUAGAAAGUUGGGGGUGAAAUCCCGGGGCUCAACCUCGGAACUGCCUCCAAAACUGCUAGUCUAGAGUUCGAGAGAGGUGAGUGGAAUUCCGAGUGUAGAGGUGAAAUUCGUAGAUAUUCGGAGGAACACCAGUGGCGAAGGCGGCUCACUAGCUCGAUACUGACGCUGAGGUGCGAAAGUGUGGGGAGCAAACAGG
rnacentral:rRNA from 1 species